UCCAAUGUAUGCCCACCUAAUGGUAAGAAAACGAAAUGCAGCGAGCUCUGACUGUCAUGGAAAUCGCCCAGGAAUUCACACAAUUAACACCUCCAGAGUGCCAACGGGUGCAAAGUUUAGCUCAUCUGCGCCGAUGCCCUAUGCCCUGCUAUGUUCAAAAGAUUUACUCCUAAUGCGACAUGUUUCAAGAAUUGCACCGACAAUUAAUGGCUCCCGCCUAAUGGAAAGAAAACGAAAUGCAUGGAAAUUUAGUUGAACUAUGCACAACAGAAGACAGGGGUUUAAGUCCAAUGUAUGCCCACCUAAUGGUAAGAAAACGAAAUGCAGCGAGCUCUGACUGUCAUGGAAAUUCGGUUGAACUAUGCACAUCAGAAGAAAGGGGUUUAAGUCCAAUGUAUGCCAUUCACCCAGUGGAAGAUUGUCCCCCAUAAUUUAAAAGCGAGGUGCAUUUAGAGGAGGAGACGUAUAUUACAUCAUUGCCUUCGGAUAUCUUGGUAAAUUGAAACAAAUUGCGUGGACACAAAAGUAGGCCAAUAUGUUUCAAUAGCUACAGAAUGCCAAAAGGAUGUGAAGUAGUGGGGACGUGAGGGCAAUAUUGGUUCAUUGUUGAGGCCUACCUUAAGAUUACAAAUUCUAUGUUGAUGUUCCAUAUGCCAUAUAUAUGAAAAACAGACAAGACAAAUUUUUUUCAAAAGUAUUUAAUUCGUGAAUAAACUUUUGAAUGGUUUAGAGCAUGCAUAGAACAUGUGUCAGUGCUUGCCCUGAGUACUGACAAACCAUGACACUAUGGCAGGGGCACCGUCUGCUUGAAAGCUGCUCCUAAAUAUGGCAUCAGAGUAAUACCAGGUGUUGAAAUCAGCAGAAUUGUUGCAUCAAGGUCAGCCAAUUUCUUACGCAUCUAAUAUAGGCAUAUGUCCCAGGAUUACCAAUUACCAUAUUAGUUCAAGCUUUUGAUUUCAUUCCAUUACUUCACCAUUGUAUUUGUCAUUUUAUGUGACUCUGAAUUUUUAGGCAACAAUCAAUUCAAUUUUAAAAAUCUCUGACUAUGGUGUAAUAAUUCUCUGCAGCAAUAGCUCAUGUGAGUGCAAGAAAAUUUUAAUUUUUUUUGUUGCACUUUUGAAUUAAUUGUUGAAAUCAGUAAACUUAUUUGUACAUUGAUAUGUAAUGGAUUUGUUGUUUAAUUUAAAAAAAAUAAAAAUUCGGAGGGGUUGAAUUGGCCCCCUCCUCAAGGCUGCAGGGAAUGGUCAUUGGUCAUGGCCAUUUUUUUCAGCCUAGU